UACGGAGGGUGCAAGCGUUAUCCGGAUUUACUGGGUUUAAAGGGUGCGUAGGCGGACUUUUAAGUCAGUGGUGAAAGCUCCGAGCUUAACUCGGAAACUGCCAUUGAUACUAUUAGUCUUGAAUUCGGUCGAGGUUGGCGGAAUGUGUCGUGUAGCGGUGAAAUGCUUAGAUAUGACACAGAACACCGAUUGCGAAGGCAGCUAGCUAGACCGACAUUGACGCUGAGGCACGAAAGCGUGGGGAGCAAACAGG
rnacentral:rRNA from 1 species